rnacentral:rRNA from 1 species
UGCUUAACACAUGCAAGUCGAACGAAGCACUUAUCUUUGAUUCUUCGGAUGAAGAGGUUUGUGACUGAGUGGCGGACGGGUGAGUAACGCGUGGGUAACCUGCCUCAUACAGGGGGAUAACAGUUAGAAAUGACUGCUAAUACCGCAUAAGACCACGGAGCCGCAUGGCUCCGUGGGAAAAACUCCGGUGGUAUGAGAUGGACCCGCGUCUGAUUAGGUAGUUGGUGGGGUAACGGCCUACCAAGCCGACGAUCAGUAGCCGACCUGAGAGGGUGACCGGCCACAUUGGGACUGAGACACGGCCCAAACUCCUACGGGAGGCAGCAGUGGGGAAUAUUGCACAAUGGGGGAAACCCUGAUGCAGCGACGCCGCGUGAGCGAAGAAGUAUUUCGGUAUGUAAAGCUCUAUCAGCAGGGAAGAAAAUGACGGUACCUGACUAAGAAGCACCGGCUAAAUACGUGCCAGCAGCCGCGGUAAUACGUAUGGUGCAAGCGUUAUCCGGAUUUACUGGGUGUAAAGGGAGCGUAGACGGCUGUGUAAGUCUGAAGUGAAAGCCCGGGGCUCAACCCCGGGACUGCUUUGGAAACUAUGCAGCUAGAGUGUCGGAGAGGUAAGUGGAAUUCCCAGUGUAGCGGUGAAAUGCGUAGAUAUUGGGAGGAACACCAGUGGCGAAGGCGGCUUACUGGACGAUGACUGACGUUGAG